rnacentral:rRNA from 1 species
AUACCGGGCCUUUUUGGGCUUGGUAAUUGGAAUGAGGGAGAGUUAAACGGACCAUCGAGUAUCCAUUGGAGGGCAAGUCUGGUGCCAGCAGCUGCGGUAAUACCAGCUCCAAUAGCGUAUAUUAAAGUUGUUGCAGUUAAAAAGCUCGUAGUUGGACUUGUGUGCGCUGUCCGCGGGUGGCCUGCGCCCAAAAGGGCGUUUCGGUUCGGCCCCGGUGGCGCCUUGAAAUCUGCAGCUGGGGGGACGUUGGUCUUAACUGGUCGGCGACCGCACGCCGGCUGCUCGGUUACUGUGAGAAAAUUAGAGUGUUCAAGGCAGGCAUUGGGUGCAAUUGAAUACAUUAGCAUGGAAUAAUAAAAUAUGGCUCCUGCCGUAUUUUGUUGGUUUUGACUGGUGGGAGUAAUGAUUGAUAGGGACGGUUGGGGGUGCUAGUAUUGAGCGGCCAGAGGUGAAAUUCAUGGAUUCGCUCAAGACUAACUUAUGCGAAAGCAUUCACCAAGGACGUCCUCUUUAAUCAAGAACGAAAGUUGGGGGAUCGAAGACGAUCAGAUACCGUCGUAGUCUCAACCAUAAACUAUGUCGACUUGGGAUCGGCGGUAGUUUUUUCAUUAAGACACUGUCGGGACCACGGGAGAAAUCAAAGUGUCUGGACUCUGGGGGAAGUAUGGUCGCAAGGCUGAAACUUGAAGGAAUUGACGGAAGGGCACCACCAGGAGUGGAGCCUGCGGCUUAAUUUGACACAACACGGGGAAACUUACCAGGUCCAGAGAUGUAGAGGAUUGACAGAUUGAAGCUCUUUCUUGAUCACUUCGGUGGUGGUGCAUGGCCGUUCUUAGUUGGUGGAGUGAUUUGUCUGGUUAAUUCCGUUAACGAACGAGACCUCAGCCUGCUAGUGUAGUCGGCUGGAUUGCCUUUGGCGAUCCGUGAUUUCGACUUCUUAGAGGGACAAUCGACGCGCAGUCGAUGGAAGUUUGAGGCAAUAACAGGUCUGUGAUGCCCUUAGAUGUUCUGGGCCGCACGCGCGCUACACUGCUGGGCUCAGCGAGUUUUACUUGGCCGAGAGGCCCGGUUAAUCUUGUGAAAUCCCAGCGUGCUUGGGCUCGCCUCCUGCAACUGGAGGCGCCAACGAGGAAUUCCUAGUAGACGCAGGUCAUCAACCUGCAUCGAUUACGUCCCUGCCCUUUGUACACACCGCCCGUCGUUCCAUAAGAGUGAGGCAUCCGGUGAAUUCUCGGGAGAGCCUGGGCGUGGCCAGCAAUGGUCUGCUCGGGUUUGAACUUGCAUAAACUUGGUGCCUAUGAUUAGGG